AAUUAGUAUACGAGUGAGAAUACAAGAAUAAUACGUAAACAAUACGUUAUAAGGCUUUAAGCCAAAUGAAAUGGACUUGUAGAAUUUUGUAGCAAUUGGUAAAGUCCAAUAGAAGUUAAUGUGCAAGCCCAUGUGUGAGUAAUGUUAAAGCCCAAGUGGUUGUUAAAGUAAAGUCUAAAGUAAAUUAAUGAAAGCCCAAAAGCUUAAGUUAAGUUAAUUAAACAUAAGCCCAAGCUAUUGAUCCAAUGGGUUAGGGUGACCCGUGGGGCAACCCAUGAUUAUAUGGUUAAUCUUGGUGACCAAGAUAAUUAUGUGAUGACCAAGAUAAUUAUGUGAUGGCCAAGUAAUUAGUGUAUUGAGCAAG
rnacentral:lncRNA from 1 species